rnacentral:tRNA from 8 species
GCAGUCGUGGUGGAAUGGCAGACACGCUACUUUGAGGGGGUAGUGAGAGUAAUCUCGUGCGGGUUCAAGUCCCGCCGGCUGCACCA